GUGUGAUUUACUUAAAAUGGCCGCUGGGGAGCUACCCCUCUAACAUCGACUAACUACCUCAUGUAACAAGAUGGCGCUGGAAUCUGGGGGAGACCCUCAUGGUCCCAGUGAGAUCAACCCUUGUAGGCAGAGCAUUAGAAGGACCACUUAACACCUAACCAAUUAAUGAUGUAUUAUUUUAUGUUAUCUCUGACAAUGCAUAUGAUGUAAUUUUGCUUUAUAAGGGGCAUGCCAUCCCCUCAGAAUGUAUGUAGGGCACAACUGUAAAAAAUUUUUAUUUUGAAGUCCUGUGGGCGUGCUCUUCACUUUAAAUAUGUUAUUGUGCUGGAGUAUGCACCUAGCAACAAGAU